rnacentral:rRNA from 1 species
GUUUGAUCCUGGCUCAGAUUGAACGCUGGCGGCAUGCCUUACACAUGCAAGUCGAACGGCAGCACGGGAGCAAUCCUGGUGGCGAGUGGCGAACGGGUGAGUAAUAUAUCGGAACGUGCCCAGUCGUGGGGGAUAACGCAGCGAAAGCUGUGCUAAUACCGCAUACGAUCUAUGGAUGAAAGCGGGGGAUCGCAAGACCUCGCGCGAUUGGAGCGGCCGAUAUCAGAUUAGCUAGUUGGUGGGGUAAAGGCCCACCAAGGCGACGAUCUGUAGCUGGUCUGAGAGGACGACCAGCCACACUGGAACUGAGACACGGUCCAGACUCCUACGGGAGGCAGCAGUGGGGAAUUUUGGACAAUGGGCGCAAGCCUGAUCCAGCAAUGCCGCGUGCAGGAUGAAGGCCUUCGGGUUGUAAACUGCUUUUGUACGGAACGAAACGGUCCUUUCUAAUAUAA